rnacentral:lncRNA from 1 species
CCUUUCUGCCCUCUGCCAUGUGAGGUCACAGUGUUCCUCCCUCCUGAGGAUGCAGUGUUCAUGAAAGCAAACACUGGGCCCUCACCAGGCAACAAACCUGCUGGUGCCUUCAUCUUGGACUUCCCAGCCUUCGGAACUGUUAAGAAGCUCCACUGCGCUUUGUCCAUUGCAAGUUGAGAAGUGAGGCCCCAGCUGUCACAUACAAGACGGGGUUUCUCCAUGUUGAGGCUGGUCUCAAACUCCUGACCUCAGGUGAUUCACCCGCCUCGGCCUCCCAAACUGCUGGGAUUAUAGGCAUAAGCCACCGCGCCCGGCCUUAGGCUCCAUCACAAGAGGGAGCCCCAUUGCUAGUCCCCAUCCUCAAAGCCUCUGCGUGAUGUUGUCUACUGUUACUCUUCACUACCCUGUGGGAGCCAAAGCCCUGGACAUAAGAACAGAAGGCAAGCAGUGGUGGCUGAGAGGAAGAACUGACACCUUUGUGCUAUCAGAGCACUUUGCAGAGGAGCUGUUAGUGGCCCUGUAGGAGUCUGCUGGCCAUACAUCUGGGUGUCAAAUCAAGAGAGCAUGAGAAGUUGGACAGGAAAGGUCCAAGGCAAAAUGGUUACUAAAGGCCAUCCCUGAUCCUGACCCUAAAAGAAGAAAAGGCCCUUUGCUCUUGGCAUGCUUUUGCAGGAGUGUCUCAGUCUGUUUGGGCUGCUAUAACAUUGACUGGGUGAUCUGCCUGCCUGGCCUCCCAAAGUGCUGGGGUUACAGGUGUGAGCCGCUGCACCAGGCCUUGAGGUCAGGAGUUCGAGACCAGCCUGGCCAACAUGGUGAAACCUGUCUUUACUAAAAAUACAGAAAUUAGCCAGGCAUGGAGGCGCAUGCCUGUAAUCCCAGCUACUGGGGAGGCUGAGGCAGGAGAAUCGCUUGAACCCAGAAGGUGGAGGUUGCGGUGAGCCCAGAUAGUGCCAUUGCACUCUAGCCUGGCCAACAAGAGUGAAACUCUGUCUCAAAAAAUAAAUAAACAAACAAACAAAC